UACGUAGGGGGCAAGCGUUGUCCGGAAUCACUGGGCGUAAAGGGCGUGUAGGCGGGAAUGUAAGUCGGGCGUGAAAGCCCCAGGCUCAACCUGGGAACUGCACUCGAAACUGCGUUUCUUGAGUAUCGGAGAGGAAAGCGGAAUACCUGGUGUAGAGGUGAAAUUCGUAGAUAUCAGGUGGAACACCAGUGGCGAAGGCGGCUUUCUGGACGAUUACUGACGCUGAGACGCGAAAGCGUGGGGAGCAAACAGG
rnacentral:rRNA from 1 species